rnacentral:lncRNA from 1 species
UGCUGAUGAAUUUUAUGUAUGGGCUUAGGUGGAAUUCUAAUUUUCUUAUCUUUUGUUUUUGUACAUUUAAGAAUCCUAAUAUAAUUUAAGUAGCCCGUAUUUGAGUUUUUACUAUUUUUGGCUGUAAUGGAUAGCGUUGCCAUGAAUAGUCAUGUACAUGUCAUUUGGAGGAUUUAAAUACACAUUUUGGAUGGGUAUAUGGCUAGGAUUGGAAUUCCUGGGGUGUAUGGUUUAUAUGCAUGUGUCCAGCUUUGAGAUACUGCCAAAUAUUUUUCCAAAGUGGUUGUAACCAUUUACCUUUCACUCCAAUGUAAGAGUUCUAGUUUCUCUGCUCGUUGAUUUUUAAUGUAUAUGACAAAUCAAUUUAUGAUUGUCGUUUAUAUUGAUUUCUAAAAAUUCUUUAUUUAUUAUUUAAAAUAUUUCGUAUUUCCUAAACUUACCUCUUAGCUUUUAGAAGCUUCUUGUAUAUUAGAAUCUUUCAUGUGGAAAUUCAAAUAAGCUAUAGUUAAUGGCAGUUUGUAUAUUUGCUUUUCAUUUCCACAGUUUUUACUUCUUCUCAGUCUACAUAAUUUGGCUGAGUCCUCAAAUAAAAAAUUGAUGCUCACAACCAGAAGGACCCACAACGAGAAUAUACAACUAUGUACUAAGGGGCUUUGGGGAGAAGAGGAAGAAAAAAAAUUAAUAAAUUACCAUAUCAAAGUCAUGCUUUCUCAAAUAAUUCUAAUUCUGUUUCCCUUGAAACUAAUAUGCAGAUUAAUUAAAAUUAACAGAAAUUAUUCAAAUACUGUGUGGAUGAAUUAUAUAAACACCCCUACCCACCCACCUCCACAAGUGCCUGAAGUUACGCAACACUAUCUGGUGAUUUGAAGAGGAGUAGAACCACCACCUAGAGAGAAUUGUGAUGCUCAACAUUACAUAACUCCUUAGAGCUAGAUCUGGAACUAGAGUUUUUUCAAGUUGUACUUUUAUCUCAGACAAAUAAAUAUUGAAAUUAUUUAAUUCA